GAUGAACGCUGGCGGCGUGCCUAAUACAUGCAAGUCGAGCGAACAGACGAGGAGCUUGCUCCUCUGACGUUAGCGGCGGACGGGUGAGUAACACGUGGAUAACCUACCUAUAAGACUGGGAUAACUUCGGGAAACCGGAGCUAAUACCGGAUAAUAUAUUGAACCGCAUGGUUCAAUAGUGAAAGACGGUCUUGCUGUCACUUAUAGAUGGAUCCGCGCCGCAUUAGCUAGUUGGUAAGGUAACGGCUUACCAAGGCAACGAUGCGUAGCCAACCUGAGAGGGUGAUCGGCCACACUGGAACUGAGACACGGUCCAGACUCCUACGGGAGGCAGCAGUAGGGAAUCUUCCGCAAUGGGCGAAAGCCUGACGGAGCAACGCCGCGUGAGUGAUGAAGGUCUUCGGAUCGUAAAACUCUGUUAUUAGGGAAGAACAAAUGUGUAAGUAACUAUGCACGUCUUGACGGUACCUAAUCAGAAAGCCACGGCUAACUACGUG
rnacentral:rRNA from 1 species